CAGCCCUGUGGUCUCUGUAGCCUCCACCGCCGCCACCCCCACCCCAUGCCCACCGGGGCCUUGCCUGGAGCCACCACUCAGCCCAGAGCCGAGGUCAAGCCAAUGGAUCUGUGCAGAAACGCUCUUUAAAAUGCAUUACGUGCAGGACUUCAAAGAGACACCCGCUGCUUGGUGUAUUUCAAAAAGGUGCAAGUGGGUGAUGAACGACCUCGGCUUGUUACCAGGCUGAGGAAUAAGGGCUCUGUCUGUCUGCCAGGAAGUAAAGUGUGGGCAUAUGUCACCUUCGGGAUGCGCUGGCGGGAGGCUCCUGAGCCCGUUGGACAGGAAGGCGCAGCCCCCAGUUCAUCAGUGGUUCUGAUGUGAGGGGCGGCCCAGUGGGAGGGAGAGGGGCCCCAUGUCCAUCAGGGGAGGUGGGGCUCAGCUUCCUGGCCCCUGUGCAGAGAGGAAGCUUCUGCGAAGCUGCCUCAAGUCAUGGACAAACAGGUGUGACUGUUCCUUGUUUUUUUCUUUUUAACUAAUCCAGCAGAUUCUAUCUUUGAACUUUUCCUUCCCGGGUGGUACUCCGAGACAGGUCUAAGGCAGUUUCAUCCUAGCUUGGCUUGGUGGGAAAAAACUGGUUGAGUUUGUCUAUAGUAUAUUAAUUACAUCCUCUGUUCUCUCUCCUCCUAGAGCUAUCAGCAGAAUUAAAACUGGGAUGCACUCUUAGCAACCCGGUAUUAAAUCCACCCCAUGUCCGGAGCCCCAGGUCAGCCACUGCAGGAAGAGGAAAGAGUCCAAGAGGCCGUCCUGGUGCUCCUCCUGGACUUGCGAACAGAUGCAGGGGGACUCCAAGGCCAUUACGGAGCUAUGUGUCACUGAGUCCAAAGGGACAGUCUCUACACGGAGCAGAGGAACUCAGGAAGGUGCUGGGUGGAGGGGCGGCAGGCAGCGGGGCGCAGCCGGGGACCCCUGGGAGAGCCACAUCUGCAGCGUGCCCUCUCUUGGGGCAGCAGAGACGGCUGCGUGUGCAUUUCCUUCCUCCCAUACUGCAAAUCCAUCCCCUGCUUACCUCGGGUGCUGGCACGGGGCUGUGCAGAGAAACACGCAGGAGAGAAGAUGGGCUGGUCGCCUAGGAGAGGGCAUGACUGCCCUGGGGAGAGUGGCUGGGCAAUUACUCACACAGACGAUUUCUUCCAAGACCCACAGCUUCUCAGCAGGGCCCUGGGAAGGCCACUAUGUGCCCUAGGGUAAGUCAUUUGCUUCUGAGAGCUGCAUCUCCAUCUGCAGAUGAGAAGUGCCUGCUGCCCAGGCCCUGGUGCAUCUGCCACGCCUGCACUUCCAUACUCCGACCCAACAGAGCGAUUGAUGAUCAAGGGCGUCGGACCUCGCCCUGUGCAGAGGGGCUGGCCCCUGGCUCAGCUUCCCUGGACAAGCCCCAUCCACCAAGCUUCCCACCUCCCUCCUGCUAAGGGGACAACAGAACAUGCUGUCUUCCCAUGUCAACUGCUCGGGCUGGAACCCUGCUUCUCCCCCCUGAGGAGAGCAUGACCUGCGUGAGGGGCACUCCCCUCUGCCUCGGUUGCCUGGUCUAUAGAAUGAGGACUGAGACAGUGUAAAGUCCUUCAAAUAGCCCUGACACAGGAAGCCCUCAAUAAGGUCACUUCUUUCGGGGCGAAUAUUAUCAGGAUGCUGUUUUGAAAAGGAAGCGCACGGUCGCUGUGGCACACCUCCGAGAGUGUCUGACUUGGCCCUGAUCGCUGCCUGAGGCCCGCUGCACAAGGUGCAGCUUCAGGUCUUCACUUGUGCCUGGUGACCUCGUGGGAGGUGCCUCCAUCUCUUCCCAUUUUGGGAGGAAAACACGGCGUGCAAAUCCCCAGCCAUCCACAGAAUCCCACCUACGGGAUGACUCGGUUCCUAGAAAAGAGACCAGGAAGAGAGGCCACAGGCAGGCUCUUCCAAACUGAGGCUUGGCCCCAGAAAACCCUGCCUCUGAUGUCUCUGGACCAUUGGAUGGGAACCCCCUCCUCAAAUCCUGGCUCUGCUCAACACUCGGGAUGCGGUUGGUCUGUUUGUCAGACCCCACACAUUACGUCAACAGGUAAGAGAUGAAAACAUGUCGCAGCUGCGUCUGUCCAUCGGCCAUAGCAGGUUUUCAAAAUCGGCUGCGUUUUCCUCUCAUGGCAUAUGGAAAUUGGAUGCUAAAUUUUUGUUGGAAGUACUUGGGUCUAUAUUUAGACUUCAUGAAAUUGAAGUGGAAACCAGAUCCACGCAUCCCAGUUGUUCCAAACAAACUUUAAAGUUUUCCAAUAACUGAGUCAAGUGUUAGUUUUGAAUUUUCAUUUUAAUUAAGUAAAAUGAAACAUCUGCUCCUCAGUCACGUGAGCCACGUUUCAAGUGCUCAAAAGCCGCAUGUAGCUGGUGGCGGCCGCUGCACAGGCUGGUGCCCAGAGAGAGCAAGUCUUCCUUCCAUCAUCAGUCCUGAAAGAUCCCUUCCUGGGUGCCUCAGGGAAAUGGGCGUGCUUGUGCACAUCUCCACUGAACACAUGAAUGUUGGAAACUCAGGUACUGGCAUGGGGGUGUGUGGGCAGCUGCAGGAGCCAGAGGAGGGUCCUUCCCCAGCCCCCAGCUCUAGCCACCGUGUCCCUGGGAGAGGGCAUUGCCAGCUAUGGGGAGCCACCAGAGCUCCCCCGCUACCCCGUGCCCAGCCCUGCAUUUUAGUAGACAGUUUUCUCCCACUAUAUUUAUUGAGUAGCUAUUACAGGCUUGGUAUUGUUUAGGUGCUGGGGACACAAACACAUACAGAUAAAACUGCUGUCUGCAGGAGCCACAUUCUCCUGCCAGGUAGGGUCCUGAGGCUGAUCAGCCUUACCGAGGUUCGGACCAGGCCUGCAGGAUCUGCCCUUUUCAAUCUUGAGCUCUUCUCCUUGUCCCUCAUACCCUGUGAACGCCACCCAGCCUAUUGCACAUUUCGGGUCCCACACGCCUCCUGGGGCCCGGCCCACCUCCACCCUCCCCACCUCUCCCUCCUUCUCAUUCCUCGAGGCCCACAACACUGUGGUAGCAGGAGGCCUCACCAGCUUGUGGCUCAGCCUGAAGAUGAUAAAGCCCAUGGGGCCCACCCAACAUCUGGAGCCAGGAGGAGCAUGACAUUCCUUCUGCCCUCACCGCUGAACCUGAGGGGAGAGCAGCGCCCACCUGCAGGGGUGACCUGCCUGGUGCCGUCCCCCUACCCUCCACAACCUCGCCUCUCCCCAAAGGGCCAACAGGCUCUACGUGCCCUAGGUGCCCCCUCACAUCCUGACAUCCCUGAGCCUCAGUUUCCUUGCCUGUCAAAUGGGGAGAAUCUGCCCCCUGCAGGUGGUAGAAUUACAUGGUGGAUCCGCAUUACCAGCACUAGUCCGUUCAGCGUGACAUGUACGCUCUGUGUGAAGUGACGUGGCACGUGGGCGAGAGGCGGGCAUCCUGGAGCCCCCUCUACCACCCCUUAUGGACUGGGUGUUACCUGUGAGUCCCUUCAGCACUGUCCUCACCUCGACGGCAGUUGUGAUAUCAAACGGGUGGAUUUAUGUGGCUUUACUGACGUGGAGCAGGCGGAUGGGCCAGCUGCCGGCUGUGCGGCCUGGGGCGGGUGGGGGGACAGGAGUGCAGGGGCAGCCCUGAGGCUGAAUCCCUAGGACCAGGAGGUGGGAGAAUUCCCCGAGGGAGGGAGAGAGGGGUGCGGUGUGAGCACAGACGCAUCAGGAAUUCAGUGGAUAGUGUCCCAGACAGGAAAGUCGGACAGAGCCACAGAAGCAUGCGUGUUACACUGCAUGAAGCAAGGACCAAAGAGCAGACGGUGGGGGCCCAGGGGUCGGGCAAACGGACCCGAGAGCAGGACAAAGGACAGCUUUUUCAGGCUGAGCAUUCAGAAAUCUGUGGCCUUAAAUUUACAUACAUUACUUCGUUAAAAAGAAAAAGUUAGAACAAUACUAGAUUUCCUUAAUUCAAUAAUCAUAGUAACAGACUCUGAGAGGCAGGGAUAUCGGAAUGGAUUAUGUCAGGUUCAUCUGUGGGUCAUUUUUAAAUGCUGGAGCAGCCACCAGUGAGUAGUACGCAGCAGUUAAAGAGAAUGAGGUACAUCUAAUGUACCAAGGUGGAAAGGUGGGGCACGCUUGUACUGAAAACAUAUUUGUUGUUUAUUCGAAAUUCUGAUGUAACUGGGUGUCCUGCAUCUGCGUUGCUAACUCUGGUGGCAGCCCUGUGCUUUGAAGAUCUGGGCCCUUUUGAGGGCUUGAUGAGAAAUGCGGGCCUUCUUCUGGAAGAGAGACCAGGCCCCACUCUGCAAACAAUCCCAGGGACGGAUCCCUCCGAAAGUCCACCCAUGGGUUUAGAUCAGGACCCAGCCAACUUUUUCUGCAAGGUGCCAGAUGGCAAAUAUCUUCAGCAAAAGCGGCUAUAUACAGUACAUAUACAAACGGGCAUGGGUGUGUGCCAAUAAAACAU